CCAGGAGGCCCCACCCCUGAACUGAGCUAGGAGAUGACACCUUGGGUUCCAGAUGCUGCCAUGGGCACCAGGCUGCUCUAUUGUGUGGCCCUUUGUCUCCUGGGAGCAGGCUCAGCAGUGGAUUCAGGAGUCACACAAAUCCCAAAAUGUCUGAUCAAAGCCAAAGGACAGCAAGUGACACUGAGAUGCUCCCCUAUGUCUGGACACCACUCUGUGUUCUGGUACCAACAGACCCAGGACCAGGGUCCCCAGUUUCUCUUUCAAUAUUAUGAUGGGGAUCAGAGAGAAAAAGGAAAAGUCUCUGAUCGAUUCUCAGCACAACAGUUCAACAACUACAGCUCUGAACUCAAUCUGAAGUCCUUGGAGCUGGGGGACUCAGCACUGUUUCUGUGUGCCAGCAGCAUGGCACAGCCUGGCAUGAUCAUCAGCUUUCUGCACAAAAACAUUCCUGACCCUGCUUAG